rnacentral:miRNA from 1 species
UGAUUUCAAUAAGAGCAGAAUU